UACGUAGGCAGCGAGCGUUGUUCGGAGUUACUGGGCGUAAAGAGUGCGUAGGCGGUUUUCUAAGUUUGGUGUGAAAUCUCCCGGCUCAACUGGGAGGGUGCGCCGAAGACUGGAAGGCUUGAGUAUGGGAGAGGUAAGCGGAAUUCCUGGUGUAGCGGUGAAAUGCGUAGAUAUCAAGCAGAACACCUGCGGCGAAGGCGGCCUUCUGGACGAUGACUGACGCUGAGACGCGAAAGCGUGGGGAGCAAACAGG
rnacentral:rRNA from 1 species